GCCCUGUUGGCUCAAUGGUAGAGCAUCCGCCUCCUAUAGCGAGGUUUUCAGCGGAAGGUUGUGGGUUCGAGCCCCAUGCAGGGUU